rnacentral:rRNA from 1 species
UACGUAGGGUGCAAGCGUUGUCCGGAAUUAUUGGGCGUAAAGAGCUCGUAGGCGGCUUGUCGCGUCGGCUGUGAAAACCUGGGGCUCAACCCCGGGCCUGCAGCCGAUACGGGCAAGCUAGAAUUCGGUAGGGGAGACUGGAAUUCCUGGUGUAGCGGUGAAAUGCGCAGAUAUCAGGAGGAACACUGGUGGCGAAGGCGGGUCUCUGGGCCGAAAUUGACGCUGAGGAGCAAAAGCGUGGGGAGCGAACAGG